GAGACAGCAGCAGCCGCGGGAAUACGGAGGGUGCAAGCGUUAAUCGGAAUUACUGGGCGUAAAGCGCACGCAGGCGGUUUGUUAAGUCUGCUGUGAAAUCCCCGGGCUCAACCUGGGAAUGGCAGUGGAUACUGGCUCGCUAGAGUGUGUCAGAGGAUGGUGGAAUUCCCGGUGUAGCGGUGAAAUGCGUAGAGAUCGGGAGGAACAUCGGUGGCGAAGGCGGCCAUCUGGGACAACACUGACGCUGAGGCACGAAAGCGUGGGGAGCAAACAGGAUUAGAUACCCGCGUAGUCCCUGUCUCUUAUAC
rnacentral:rRNA from 1 species